rnacentral:misc_RNA from 1 species
AUAACAAUAAUAAUAUCCGUACUUAUAUUUUUUACUAGUACGGUUAGAAGAUGGAGAGGUUGAAUUGGAACGAACACAAAAGGGCGAGCUUGUGCGCGUGGGAUUGAAAGAGAUGUUGUAUGGGAAGUCAGUUUUUAGCGUCUAGUCAUGAGGGCUGAGGGCAUCAUAUGAUCCCUGUAUUGAUGUGGAUGUUUAUAGUAUGCAAGUUUGGAUAAAUCUGAGUAUAUACUUACAAAUAUUUAUGCAUAUUCUCGUCUU